UGCCCAGAGUCACAUCCAGCCUGGCCUUGAAUGCCUCCAGGGGUGGGAAUCAGAAAGAGAAACUGACAGUUUUCAACCCUGAUAUUCUAAUAAGUCUGCCAUUCUUAUUAAUUACCUGAAACUGUUAAGAUUAAUUCUGAUGAAGAGGUCCCAGUAACUCGCAUUUGGAUAACUACUGAAACAGUAUGUAAUUUGAAAAUAAGUCACUUAUUCUCUUUUAAAUAAAUUUAAAUGAAAUAGCCAAAUCAGUUAUGGAAUUUAGUAUUGUCAGAGUGAGCUUAGAAAGUAUAUCUGCAGAUUUUCCAUCAGUGAAAACUGGAAUACAAAGGGGGUCAACAGAAUUUAAAACCAAAACAUAAGGGAAAUGUUAUUCUCUGUUGUAUAAGAAAUGUUAGUAUCUGAUUCCAAAUUUGAAUAGAUACAACUAGUCAAAAGAUACUGGUCAAAAACUUGGUGGAGACCUGUAUGACCAGAAUGGAACUAUGCUGACAUGACUAUGAUAAAUAAUUAGUUAAAAUUUUAUAUAUAAGUUCAAAGGUGAAAGUUCAUGUUUCAGAACAUUCAUUAGUCUAAUUUUUUUGAGCUAGAUUUGCUAGCAAGGUUGUGCUUAGAUAUUUCAAUGACUUAAGUAAAGUGUUGCAUUCCAACUUGAAGCAAUGUCUUGUUUUUUGUGAAGGUGAGGUAGAAGAGGUAUAACUUCAACAUGGUGCAGAGCAGGAUGGUUUAUUAAGGACAAUAUUAUUCUAUGCCUUUUCUGCAGAAGCAGCUGGCAGAGAUAAGGAGGAUAAACUACUGUACUUAAUCUGUGCAGCUUUCUGGCAAGGAGAAGUCUUGUUAUUGGAAAUAAAUACUUGUAGUAAGAAGCCAUAGUCCUUUUUGAGUUAUCUGAAGAAACCUUAUUAAGGAUUCAAUGAUACAAUUACUCUGUCUAAGAAGGAUUUAAUAGAAUCUUAGAAUGAUUUGAAUUGGAAGGGACCUUAAAGCCCUUGCCAUGCUGCCUUAAAGCCCACCAGCUCAAGCUGCCCAGGGCCCAUCCAACCUGUCCUUGAGCCAGAAUGGUUUGAGUUGGAAGGACCUUUAAAGGGCAUCUAGUCCAACUCCCAAAGGAAGGAGGAUAAAUGGCUGAAACUGAGUGCAGAAAUGCAAGGUAGAUAAAUUAGUUCUGUUCUAACACAAUAGUGAUUUAUAGUGUUUCCUUUCUUCUUAUUAUAAAUAGCUUUAGAGGAAAUCUCUACAUGCCUAUACAAUUGUUUCCCUGGGUGUAAGACAGUUCUGCCAUGCAGAAAUAUCACUAGGAUCAUUUAGCUUAACUUAUUCCCAUACUAUUUGUUCUCUGGAGAUAAAUAACAGUAAAACACAAAGGAGGAAUGAUACAGGGUAAAAACUCAUUUUGUCCUGAUCUUAGUUCCAUAAGUAAAUAUCUUUUGCCAUAACAUUGCAAGCAAAAGCAAUUGCUUUUCUAUUAACAACAGCAAGGGCAUUUACUAAUAUUACUCCCUGGGCUGUAAUCAGUCAUCACCUCCUUACCCUAUGAAAAUCACAGCUGGCAUUUGCAAGAAUUACUUUAAUCUAUGAGGAUGAAAGGGACUGCUGACAGACAGAAACUUUGCCAACAACCUCCUAACACAGUCACUAGUUUCACCAACACUGAGAGCUUUCAGCAGUGCCUGGUUAGAAUGGGGGAAAUUGAAGUGCUGGUAUCUGAAGGAAAUACUUCUGGGAUUCUGUGACAAUUUCCUAAAGGUACAAAACUGAAAUGGGAAAAAACAGUGAUGUAGGAUGCAGUAACUUCUCUUAAUCAGAAAUUGCCUUUCAAAGCAUCACACUGGGUACCCAUUUACUAUGUUUUGUUACUUUUCAUCUUGAAAAAAUUCCUAGCUAUUUGUAAGACAUCUAUAUAGGGAUCAUUAGACCGCAACGUGAAAAAUAUCCACACUAAGGUUGGAACACCAAAAUAAUAUUGCAUUAGGGAUUGAGCACCUGAGCUGAAAAAUCCUGUCCGGUUGAAGCUGUACAGCCCUCUUUAGGCUAAAAGGAUGUAAUUGGGAUUUGCUCAGCAUCACGGGACGUUUUUAUUGGCUUUACAGUGCAAGGGAGAAAAGAUGACACAAUCUUUUCAUUUUCUAUACCAUGGAAUGGGUUGGGUCGAAAAGGAAUUCAAAUAGGUGGUCAGAUGGCUGGAUCUUUCUUUUCCCAUCAGCACUUCAUCACAGUGACACCCAGCACUGGGCUGAUACAGACACAGACAGAAAAAUGGCACCUACUUCCCUUCCUGCAACAUCUCAGCUCCCUGGGAGGUUCCCAGGCUGUGCAGUGACAAAUCUGCUUAGCUCACAAAAUAGGACAGGACCACUGGCCAGGACACUGUGGCUGGAGACAACAAAACACAGCCAUCAAAUGCAAUUGCACUCUCUGUGAAGCAGCUGGUGUUCUUAACUGUUUGAGUAGGUCUUGCAGCUGACAGUCUUGCUGUGGCACUAUUAGACUGACACAGUUUCCAGUCUUUUUGCCUGUUAGGGCAUCCUCUUUAACAGGAACCUCUUUCUCAUCUCUACUUGACUCAGAUCGAUUACAUUCUGGAAUGCAAACAGAUUCUUCACUGUGAAGAUACAAAAUAUAAAAAAGAAGUUUUUCAAGUGUAUAUAUAUGGCUGGGCAAAACAGAGCUGAAUACUGUACAACGACAUACAGCUGUUUGACAUUUACAUGUACUUCUCUGCUCUUCAAAAUUCUCUUAUAUAGCAACUGCAGAUAGCUUGAAAAGGAAGAAUAAUUAUCACCAAAAGCAAUGGAAUGUAGGAAAAAGAUAAAAAAUUUGGACAUCACACAGACAAGAAACAGAAUCCUGGCUGACAAAGAAGUAACAGGCUUAUGCAACUACAGAUGCCAUGGGAAGGUCUCACUACUUUAUUCAUUACUUCAUUCAUUAUACUGAAUAGGGAAGUUACACUUCAUUUGCUCUGAAGCGUUAUAAAUGUUAGAAACUUCUUUAGGUUUGUAAAAUGGAUGGAUAGGGCUGUGUUUUGACUUGGAUUUGAUUUAAAUGUGACAUUUUUCAAAUUUGUUGACUUAUAAGAAAGAGGUUUCUCGAACUGUCCUUUUUCUGCUACCUCAUUAUUGAAUUGUGGACUGUAAAAUGAUUUAAUUUUUGGCAAUGUAUAAUUGUGUUCUAAGUCCUAAACUGCCAGCACUUUGGAUAAUUACUGCAUCAUAUAAUGCUACGACCAAAACUACAGCAAAGUAAAAGUGUUGUUGGUUUUAUAUAUUUUAGCAGACCCCUGGCUAUAUUAUAAUUCAUACAGGCAUUUACAGAGGAGUAGGCCAGCUCAUGUCUUGUCUAGACCUUGUAAGGAGACUAGAUAUCUUAGUCUUCUUAUCAUAGAAUCAUAGAAUGGCUUGGGUUGGAAUGGACCUCAAAGAUCAUCAAGCUCCAACCCCUCCGCCACAGGCAAGGCUGCCAACCUGCACUUUUAAUAAUAGAAUUUUCAUAAUAAAUACAAUGCCAGUUCAUAUCAAAGUAUGCUCUGGAAAGAAGCAGAAGUUGGUUUGGUAGAAAAAUCUCUGCUCUGACCAGAUAGUUGUCUGCAACAGGAUUUACAUCCUGUUGUGUAUAGACAGCAGAACACGUGUAUAUGCAUACAAAAUGGACAUAAGAAAAUUUGAAUGGCUCGUCUGGACACUCUUUAGUGUGAUGAGUAAGGGAAAUACUGAUACAGUACAUGGUAUCAUUUAUUUGUCACAACAAUUUCAGGAGACAGGUUGGAAGAUGAAAAUCAAGGUAAGAAAGACACUACUGUUAAAAACUGUAAAAUCUACCACCAAACUGCUGGCCCCAUCAUUAUUGUUCCUUCCUUUCCUUUUUUUGCUUUUUGUUUUAUUACACUAACAAGGUUGCAUUUUUCCACCUAGAGCAUAUUUGGGCAAGAGUAGACAGGGAACUGUUUACAAUGUAAAUUUGUUUGAACAGUUCAGCUAUAGGAUUUGAUUCAAAAUGAUGGAGACACUGUCUUACUUAUACAAAUAAAUCAAAAAAUUAAGCUUGAAUACAUGAGCUCAGUCAAUGCAGCCAAACAAUUUAUAUCAAUCAAUCAUUAUUUUAAUUAAAUUUGAGGGGAAAAAUUCAAAACAACAACACUAACACUGCACACAUAUUAAAAUUCAUUGUGAUCAGGGCAGUCAAGAAUAUAAAUUCAUUGUACAGAGGGAAUAUUUUAGCAACAAUUCAUCAAAAUCUUUCAUACCUAAUAACUUUCACUAAGUUACAUUAAAUAUUCUUCAGUCAUUUCACAAUAUUUGAAGUUUAAUUAAUCACAGCAUCAAGCUUGUCUGAAAAAACACCAGGAGCAGUUUAUCUAGAGAAAAAUGAAGGACUUAAACAAUUCAGUAAUCUCACAAUCUACGUUUUGUACCAUAUUAGGUUAAGAUGGCUCAGAACGUUUCCCUUGGGAACUGGUUAGUUAAUAAAUGCAGACUAAUCAGUCAAAAGGAUAAUGACUUCCUCUGAAGAACCAGACUUUUUCCUGCAUGCAUCAAAAUUCUUUUUUAGCAAGGCUAUGAAGCAAACAACUUAUAUCUUGCAUCACUUUGCUUAUGUUUUUGAAUAAGAAAAAUUCUCUUCGAGCCAGACAUUCGGCUCAUCUCAAUUGUUACCUUCUCUUGUGGCAUUAUAUCAUGUAAGAGAUUUACUCCACUUUUUUUUCUGGUAUUUUAUAGUACAAAGUCAUCCAAACACUUCUGUGCAAUUUGUAGUUCAUGGUUCCAUUGAAACAACAUGUGUAGGAGUUAAUUUUUAACAAUGGGGGGCUUGUUUUGGUACAUGCUAAUCUCUCAAUGACUUCUUCUGCCUUAUGGUAAUCUUUACUUCCCUCUUUGUGUAGCACUUUUACUUUCCACCUUCUAAUGGGAUUUAUGAUGCUGAGACAAGCAAUGGCUAAAUGCUGGUCACUGCUAAAGUUCAGAGAUGGUGCACGCCAUAUCUAUAAUGCAACUUCUUAAGCAUGAGUUCUCCUAAAUCACACUGUUUACUAAUCCCCUGUUUAGAUGCACCCCACUCCCUCAAGAGGUAAUAUAAAUAAUUAAGUUGUCAAUAAAUGAUUUGCCUGUUCUAUAAAAAUUCAAAAUUUCAAAUAACAUCAUUGCCUCUCUCCACUUUCAAAAAUGUUUGUUUGUUUGUUUGUUUCAGUAAGAUGAAACGAGAACUGUAUAAGAUUUUUUACUGUAAAGUUAGUAUAAAAAUUUGAUGGAUGUUACACUUAUAAGACAAAAGAGACCCAGGGUGGUCAUUGUCUGACAUAGAUAAUCACUGUUCUUUCCACCAGGCUGGAAAAUAACUUUCUGUCUUUUCUGAUCAGUUGCUUUAUACAGGCCAGAAUGACUCCACUGGGCUUCAAGAGGAAAGCAAUCCAUCCUGGCCUAACUGACAGACUGUUAAUACAGCUUGUUAUGAGCAGUGGUAUACCUGUCAUGAAUUCAACAUCAUGAGGUUAUCACCUCUGUUAUCCUCUAAAGUUCCAGAGUUAACCAAUGCAACCACUUGCAAGGCUUGCACUAAGUGCUAUCCAGCAAUUUGGCUGUGAAUAUUAUUGAGCAUGAACUCAUAACCCCUGCCCUGCUGAAGCACAAUAAGUUAAAAUUUUCUCAUAUGAGUUUGGAGGAAAACCGUGGCAUUCUUUCUAUCAUUAUUCAAAAUGUGUAGAAGAAAUGGCUCGUGCUGCAUAUAGAUGAAGACAGAAUUGGCACUUGUACUGUAAGAAAUGUGUCCGCAUAGAAUAUGCAGUGGCAGGAACUCACAAUCAGUAUCUUUCUCAAUGACAGCAUACUUAAAUGUCAGCCAGCUCCAGCUUUCAGCAAACUCCCCCCAUCUUUCUUCUACAUCGCUGUCACAGGCUGGUAGGCCUCCUGGUACAACCCUGCCUUCUUUACAGCACUAUUUGCUCCAUGUCAAAUAACCACUUUGUUCCAUUUCUCAGAAUGGUUAUUUUCUUGAGGCAUAAUCUUGCAUAUUUAUUCCAGAAUUCCUUUGCAUGUAUGCAUACACAUAUUGUAAAAGCAUUUCAUUUCAACUUGAUGUCUACAACUUCAGUCUAUCCAUUUAUGGGUUGAUGGUUGGACUAGAUGAUCUUAGUGGUCUUUUCCAACCGUAAUGAUUUUAUGAUUCUAUGACUUAUGGAUAUGUCCCUCAACCAGUCAGCAAUUGAUUCCUGGGCCAUGGAAACUGAAUGGACUGUAUCUUUGAACUCCUUGGUUCCAAAGGACACCAAUAUAGGGCAGAUAUAGAGUGUAUAUAGAUGGCGUAUAUAUAGACAGAAGUUUAUUCGUAGACAUUUGGCUGGAAACUCACUGCCUUCUCACUGUUUUCCUCAUUAUUAAAUGUAAGAGUUGGAUCUUUCAGAUGUUUCUGUAAUAGCUAAUUCACUUCUCAAGUUAGUUCAAGCCUGAAAUUUUUGGUUCUUAAUUUUUACUUCUAUUUGAGAAAUUUCAGUUCAGGCUUCAGAAAAAAAAGCCACUUCGAGAUUUUGAUGCUGAGAUAAAAUAUAUUGUUGUAUGACAUAGUAUUUUAACUGCAAUAUUUUUUAACUAUAAAUGGUAGUUUCUAGAUUAAUUCAAGGAUAUUUGUCUUAUUUUUGGAUCAAAAUAUAUCCUGUUGAAUUGUAACAAAACAGAUAUAGCAAACAUAAGAGGUAAAAAAAAAAAAAAAAAAAAAAAAAAA